rnacentral:lncRNA from 1 species
AUGCUGGUCACAUCAACCAAUAGGGUGACGACAAUUUCCCUGUGCUUCCGUCCACCUGUCCGGUUGAACGCACUCUCCGGGAGGUUUCCUCGGCACAAUCUCUGUCAUUGCCAACUUGAGCCAGGCAUUUGUCUCCAAGCAUCCACGCGAGAUGGGCAGUGCGGCCGCGGAAAGAUCUGAGCAAAAACUUCAUCGUAUCCCCCUUUCCCUGUUCAAGAGUGAAGCUCCCGGGAGAUUACUGAGUGGCUAAUCAGCGUCAGGGCGGAUUGAAGGUUCUGAACAAGAGUGGCAGCGCGGCGUUUCCUGCCACCCGCGCUCCUCCCCGGGAGCGGCUGGGUGCGGGGUAGUGUCAUCGGCCGGGGCUGACACCGGCACUGGAGCCGUUCCCCGCUGGCAGCCUCUUCCGUCCCAGCAGGUACCUGUUAAGGCCAGACACGUUCCACCAACAGUCGCAGCUGCAGGAAAGAACCCGUUUUUUUCCCGUCUAGGUUGCUCCUUUCCUAGUACCUAAGCCCAUCAUCCUCCUGCCACUGACAUAAUCGUUGUCUAGACGUUCUUUUUCAAAACUCAAAUCCAAUCAAACAAAAACAAAGCCCGUCAAAGCAAGAACAAUAAUACUGCAGCUAGCGGCCGGGAGCGUGCACCCCAUUAACGGGGAGAAAGCAUCAACCCCUGCUGUAAUGACUGAAUUGGAAAGAAAGGUUUCAUGCCGCUUGUUACUCGUCAACAUUUUUACUAUGCCAGCUGCAAGAGAAGCAGCUGCAUACUCUGGCAACUCGACUAGGGUGGGAGAAAUUUAGCCAGCGUCUGGGAUUUUCGCAGAUAAUUUAAGCCCCAGCUUCGCUCCCGCUGGGGGUUGGGGGCCUGCGGGGCCAGGGUGGGGGAACUGGGCUGUGGCGCGCAUGCGCAGGUCCUGCAGCCCGGCUCUGGGGAGGCCCUGCUGCCGCCACCGCCGUGGCCCGCGCUGUAACCGCGGCUGCCGCUGCUGCUCGGGGCGGGCGUUGGUG